rnacentral:lncRNA from 1 species
UGUGCUUAUCGAGUGAUUCAACACCUUCAGUGACGUCCUGGGGCUCACAGCUGACUGUUAUCGACAUUUCUGAACUAUAAAUAGCGUGUUGGAUAGUGUUCCUUCCUACUUCCUGCAGAGUUGACGUAAUCACCUGUAACACUGUCCCUGUCAGGCGCAGUGCCUGGAGAUCCAGAACCACAUAGCCUGGAGGUCCAGAACCACAUAGCCUGGAGGUCCAGAACAGCAGUGCCUGGAGGUCCUGCUUGAGCAGCACCUGCAACCAUGAAGGUGGAAUCAAAAUGACCGGUGUGAUCUUUCACCAAAAAUGGACUUCUGAGAAUGGCAAGCUCUGAGACGGGUAGUUGCACAGUCUGUCACAAACUGCGACGUCAAUACAAUAAAGCGCUAGUGGAACCAAGUUUCUUUUUAGUCCAUCUUGACGUUUGUGUUCUUACUGAAAAAAUCAAGAGAAGUGAGAGAAAGCGGCGAAAACUGAAGGAGAUUGAGAAGAUCGUGAGUGCUUUGAGAAACACCGAAGGCGGAGAUGUGUUGUUACAUCUAGAUGGACAAACAAGUGACGAUAAAUACCUCGGACAUCUCGACGACUUUCUGGACAAUAGCUUGAACAAUCUAAUCCCUGACGGUAAGCUGUUCAUUGAGUCAUACACUCGCCAAUAGCUGCACGAAUGGGAACAGUUUGAACAAUUUCUGGAUGUUGUGUUGCUGAAAGUUACCAAAACACCAUUCAUAUCGACAGUUGAUUUUAAGACGAAAGUAUCCUCAGACUUCAAGAUUGAGAAAGCGUCAACGAUUAAUAUCGUGUCAAUUUUGUCAAAUGACGUCCGUCCUCAAAAAGCACUUCCCAAGCUCCGUGGAUUAGAUCAGUAUACGACUCUACUGCAUGAAAACAGAAGGACAGAAUUAAAAGUUUACAAGCCCAACCAAAAAAUAGACUCAGUUGGAGAAUUUGUUGAUUAUGUUUGGCAGGACCUGCGCUUUAAAGAAAAUUUAAGCUGUUUGUCUAAAGUGACACCAUUUCUGAACAACUACACUGUUGACCCAUGUACCAGCUGAUACACAAGCGCUGAGAAAUAGACGUCACGCGAGAAUUAAUGAAAAUGCCAUUAUUUUAUCUGGAAAUUGAUCGUCUAUGUAAACAUGUCACACGUGCCAGAAAUACAGCUGUUACAGCUGGAAGAGUUACCCUCAGCUGUCACCUGUCACCAUCAGCUGUUACUCAGCUGCCACCUCUCACCUCCAGUUGAAACUCAGCUGUUACCUAUCACCAUUACCUGUCAGCAAAAGUUGUCACUCACCUGUCACCCUCAGCUGUCACUCACCUGGCACCCUCUGUUGACACUCACCUGUCACCUGUCACCCUCAGUUGUCACUCACCUGUCACCUGUCACCACCAGUUGUCACUCACCUGUCACCCUCAGCUGUCACUCACCUGUCACCUGUAACCAUCAGUUGUCACUCUCCUGUCACCCUUGCUUGUCACUCACCUGUCACCUGUCUCCCUCAGUUGUCACUCACCAGUCACCCUUAGUUAUCACUCACCUGUCACCAUCAGCUGUCACUCACCUGUCACCUGUCACCCUCAACUGUCACUCACCUGUCACCCUCAGUUGUCACUCACCUGUCACCUGUCAUCAUCAGCUGUCGCUCGCCUGUCACCUGUCUCCCUCAGUUGUCACUCACCUGUCACCUGUCACCAUCAGUUGUCAUUCACCUGUUACCUGUCAUCCUCCAUUGUCACUCACCUGUCGCCCUCCCUUGUCACUCACCUGUCGCCCUCCCUUGUCACUCACCUGUCACCUGUCACCUUCAGUUGUUACUCACCUGUCACCUUCAGUUGUUACUCACCUGUCACCCUCAGUUGUCACUCACCUGUCACCCUCCCUUGUCACUCACCU